rnacentral:lncRNA from 1 species
UCCCAUUGAACAUCACCGAAAAGUCUGAAAUAGAUCCAAGAAAAUGCGAGCACCAGUGCAAGUCUAGUACUUAAACCCUGUGGUGGUUCCAUCACAAAGAACAUAACCAUCUGAGCUAAGCUCAGGUCACGUUUUAGUUUUAUUUGUUAUUAGCGCCUAUUUAUGCAUUUGUUUUAACAAGAUUCCCGCCAUAACACGUGGAUAUAAUCUAGUUGAAUUUACAUUUAGAUUUUUUUUUUGGUACACUACAUACACGUUGAUUUGUACCUACUUACCGAUUUACUUCAUAAUUUUUAACUUCUUUGACGUGCACCAUAUUUUUGUCCUUUUAGGGAAUUUAUUUCAGAAUUUUCUAUUGUUCGCUCGUAGCAAAGAAAGUGGGUAAAAUGAGACGAAUCACAUAGGAUACAGCAACAAUGGGCCGCCCUAUGUUGUUUUCCCUUCUUUUUUCCUUCAAUGGGUUUUGUCUUAUUUUCCUUGGUUUUUUCUUUUCUGUUUUUUUUCGUUUCUUUAGGUCUGGCAUUUGUUUUUCCGUUAUUUUUCUUUUUCUAGUUUCCUUUUUUAUUUUGAUUGUUAUUUCAUGAAUAUUCUUUAUAAUAUGUAAACAUCCGUAAUUUGUCGAACAAUUUUUAAAAUUCAUGAUCCUUUUAUUCAUUUUCAUCAAAUUCGUGAAUAUUAUUUAAAUUAACUAAACUAGUUUAAAAAUUCAUGAAACUUUUAAAAUUGUUGAACAAUUGAAGAAAAUCAUAACAUUUAAAAAAAUUGUUGAACAUUUUUUAAAUGCCAAUCGUUCUUUUAGAUCAUGUUUGAUUUACUUUGGAAAAAAUUAAUUAUUUUCUUCUAUACUUUUAAAACCAACAACUCAUUUUUUUUGGAGACAGACGUUUCAGAUUUUCUUCGGCUGCUUUAUUUGUUAAUUUUUUUAGAAACCCUUAUAACUUUAUUCAUACUCAUAACAAUUACAGGUACACUCAUUUGGACCUAAGAUCGAAGAAAAUACAAAGUAGACAUCCAAAUACAAAGUAACUCUUAUGACUAAGAAUUACAAUGAAAUCUCUUGAAAACACAUUCUUCGUGGUAUCAAUCUCUUCUCGGAGAAAUACUCCAAAGGUUUCGGUAAAGAAGCUGCAAUUGAACUGGAGCAAUAAUGUUGUCACUAUUUCACCGCACGAACACUACCAAUAAUGAUUUUUGAAAGCGUCUUGAGUCGUCCAUCCAAAAAGAUGGGAAGCCUUGAUCGAUGAACAUACUUAGGCCGGGGAUGAUCCCCUGAAAGUGCAGGCCGUUGAAUCACUAUCUCUUCACCAUGAUGUCGAUGAAAGAUUUCACCUCCACAAAGAAUCAGACCAACAAAAAAAACUUGACAUAGCAACAUAAACUCAUCACAUCUGAAUAAUCGGACUUGCGAGGACAGAAAACUCUCUAACCUCUUGGCAUGGCCAAAAGAACGAGGGGAAAUUUAUUCUCAUAAAACUAUGAUGAUCACUAGACGUUGACAAAGAACAUAGAGGNNNNNNNNNNNNNNNNNNNNNNNNNNNNNNNNNNNNNNNNNNNNNNNNNNNNNNNNNNNNNNNNNNNNNNNNNNNNNNNNNNNNNNNNNNNNNNNNNNNNNNNNNNNNNNNNNNNNNNNNNNNNNNNNNNNNNNNNNNNNNNNNNNNNNNNNNNNNNNNNNNNNNNNNNNNNNNNNNNNNNNNNNNNNNNNNNNNNNNNNNNNNNNNNNNNNNNNNNNNNNNNNNNNNNNNNNNNNNNNNNNNNNNNNNNNNNNNNNNNNNNCUAAAUUUCUCAGAUGGCGGCGGCAACGGCAACACGAGAAACCCUAGUGGAACUACUCUAUGUAUACGUAUCUACAUACUCUUAAUUGUUUUCCUGUGUGAAUGAAUGUCCCGUGGUAAAGGUAAUACAGUCGGGCCCUAACGUGUUUGGGUUGCGAUUCAUCGCCACACAUUCUGAUUUUUGUCUUUUACGUUCUUUUGUUCAUAUUUUCAAAAAAUAUAUUCUAAACACACAUAUUCCAAAACUUAAAUUUACAUAUAUUUAAAAAUUGCUAAUUUGAAAAAUGUAACACUGUGUAAAAUCUGUUAGCAUGAUUUUUCUAAAAAAAUGUUUGUGACAUUAAAACAAAUUCAGGCAUUUCAAGAAAAUACAUGUGACAUCACAUUUAAAAAACAAAUUAAACAAUGUAAAAAAAUGUGUACUCCCUCUGUACCGAAAUAUAUGUAGUUGAAGCAACUGUAGUUUAACUUCUCUAGCGACAUAUAUUUCGGUACGGAGGGAGUGAUUCAAAAGAAAAUUCUUACCAUUCAAAACUAUGUUUGUGAAAAAAUUAUAAAAUGUUUAUACAAUGUACAAAAAUGUUUGUGUAAUUUAAAAAAAUGUUUUCAUGUGAUCCAAAAAAUGUUUCAAUGUGUAUUUAAAAGAUGUUUAACACAUAUUCAAAAAUAUGUAUUUGGAAAAAAAUGUUAAUCAUUGAUUUAAAAAAUGUUAAAAAUUUAUAAACUAAUGUUUCAGAUGCAUACGAAACAUGAACAACGUUUAUGAAAAAAGUAUAAAACAAAUAUUAUUUUUGAAAGAAAUAUAAUGUGCAAAAAGAUGUUCCUGGCAUCUGCGGGAAAUGUACAAUGUAUAUGAAAAUAUGUGUUAAAAACUAAAAAGGGAAAAGAAAAAUACCAGUGAAGAAGCGCAGAAAACCGACACCCAAAAGAAAACAAUUGAAACCCGACAAAGAAAACCAAAAAACGGAAAAGAAAGAAGGAAAAAUAAAAACCAAAAAACCGAGGGAAACCGCUAACAAAACACAAAAACCGAGAACCACAAUAAAUACCGGGGAAAACCAAAACAGAAAACGCGCAGAAAAAAAAUAGCGCCUAAGACCCGCUCCCGCAGGAACCCGAAUUUGGCCGGGCCCAUAUACNNNNNNNNNNNNNNNNNNNNNNNNNNNNNNNNNNNNNNNNNNNNNNNNNNNNNNNNNNNNNNNNNNNNNNNNNNNNNNNNNNNNNNNNNNNNNNNNNNNNNNNNNNNNNNNNNNNNNNNNNNNNNNNNNNNNNNNNNNNNNNNNNNNNNNNNNNNNNNNNNNNNNNNNNNNNNNNNNNNNNNNNNNNNNNNNNNNNNNNNNNNNNNNNNNNNNNNNNNNNNNNNNNNNNNNNNNNNNNNNNNNNNNNNNUUCUGUGCUCAAGGGUUUCGCCGCGAGUGGCGGCGGCCACGAGCUCAGGCGACGAGGAGCGGCGGGGAAGAGGAGGCGGACACACGGCGUACGGCGGAUGUUCCGGUGCCUGAGGAGCGUCCGGCAGCGCCUCAGCACCGAUCGCCACCACCAGCAGGACAAUCGCUGCCAUCUCCGACAGCAAGCCAGUGAGUGCCCUCUCGUGCUCUUCUUCGGCUCGUUGCGCUCAAGGAUUCACUAGCUUGUGUACUCUGCAUUGUCGAUUUUGCGGUACUUUCUCUUUGCUUGCUCGAUGUUGUUUUGUGGCAAUUUGUCCUUACAUCUACUUAAAUUUUGUUCAGUGAACAGACCGGCGGAGAACAUCAGUGUGGGCUCUUGUGUCUUCCAAUUCAAAGUAGACUAUGAGCGAAGCAAGCAGAUUUCCGUUGGCAUGGCCUUCUAUUCCGACAUCGUGUCCGCCGGGGGACACCUGUGGAGGGUUAAGUUCUUCCCGCGUGGGGAGUUAGAGGCCGACCAGGAGUAUGUUUCGAUCUUCCUGGAGCACAUGAGCAAGUCUAGAAGUGUGGAGGUCAUGUUUGAGGUCUUUAUGAUGGGCAGGGACAGCAAGCCAUGUAUGGCACACAGACAAAGGUUCGUUCAAACCUUGGAGAUCAUGGAAGAUAAAGACAGCAGCGACUGCUGGGGAUGGGGUCAGUUCAUCGAGGGAACUACGUAUAUUGGAGAAAGAUUACUUAACAGAGGGGCAUGUCACAUUUGUAUUUUCCAUCAUGAUCAUCGAUGACAACUGUGUUCUUGUCCCUCCUUCAAACAUCGGGACCCAUCUUGGCCGCCUGCUAGAUCACGCUGAUGGGACAGAUGUGUCAUUCAUCGUUGACAAUGAGACAUUCCAGGCUCACCGAGCAGUGCUUGCUGCCCGCUCGCCGGUCUUCAGAGCAGAGCUCUUCGGCCCCAUGUCUGAAGCUACAAUGCCAUCCAUCACACUGCACGACAUCACACCUGCAACAUUCAAAGUUAUGCUCCGGUUCAUAUACACAGAUGAAUUGCCCCUAGAAGACGAGCUUGAGGACUCUUCCACCGAGAUGUUCCAGAACCUGCUUGCUGCGGCCGAUCGGUAUGCACUGGACAGACUGAAGAUUGUUUGCGCCCAGAAGUUGUGGGAUAAAGUGUCGGUAGAUACAGUUGCAACUAUCUUAGCUUGGGCUGAAACCUACAACUGCCAGGAGUUGAAGAACAGGUGCAUUGACUUCUUUGUGGUGGAGGAAAAUUUCAAGAAGGCCAUCUUCACCGAUGGUUAUGCGUUGCUGGUUCUGAAAUUCCCAGAGAUCAUUGCUGAGAUGAAAAAGAGGGUUUAGGAGAUGACACAAUGAGAUAUAUCUCCAUGUAUAUAGUUCAGGUGUUCAAGCGAUAGUACUAGAUGUGUUUUGGAACGUGGUGAGUGGUAUGUGGCAUCUUAUCAAGCGUACUGGGGCGUACUAAAUGUGUUUCAUGAGCUGGGAGCCUGAUAUUACUGGAUCUUCUUGUUAGCAGUAUUGGCCAUAGUUGCUACUGAGUACUAAUGGUGGAGUGGUGGAUGUUUAUCAGGUAUCAGAUACUUGUGCCGAAUGAGCAGCUUGUUUUCCGUUUGUGUUUGUUCUUUUGGCCAUGUCGUGUCCUGAAGCUUUUAAAAUGUUUACUUCUGCUAAUCUAAUGCAUAACUAUCUAUAGCUCCGGUAAUCUAAAUACUUCCUUUGUGAUGGCAAAAAAAAUUCUAGAGUAUAGCCUUUGCAUAGCUCAGUGUGAAAUUCUGUUCCUGGUUCAUCACUGAAAUCAAACAAGGGAUAUUCAAACCUGAAAACGUGGUUGUGGCCCUUGUGGGAGUACUGAACAAAUUUUCUAAUUAAUUGGCCUGUGUGUUCGAGAGAAGAAAAGGAUGCCCUACUAAAGGUUACAAAUGAGCAGCUUGUUUUCUGUUUGUGUUUGUUUUUUUUUGGCCAAGUCGUGUCCUGAAGCUUUUAAAAUGUUCACCUUUUGCUAAUAUAAUGCAUAACCAUCUAGAGCUCCGGGAAUCGCCUUUGUCAUGGCCAAAAAAUCUGGAUUAUAGCGUUUGCAUUGCUCAGCGUGAAAUUCUGAGGAUAAUUGGUUUGAUGCCAACAUUUGGCGUUGCCAAUACUUGGCAAGCCAAACAAUUGGCAAUAUCAAAAGUUGCCAAAAAUUGACAACUUCUUGUGAGGUUGGCAAGUAAACAAGGUAACCAACCAAGCACAAGCCAAUAUUUUGACAUUUGCCAAAUGUUAACAUAUGCCAUUUUUUACCAAUCAUGCUCUCUCUUCCUGGUUCAUCUGGUAACUGAAAUCAAACAAGGAUAUUCAAAACAAAACAAAAAACUGCCAACUUCUUGUGAGAUUGGUAAGUAAACAAGGUAACCAACCAAGCACAAGCCGAUAUUUGACAUUUGCCAAAUGUUAGCAUAUGCCAAUUUUUACCAAUCAUGCUCUCUCUUCCUGGUUCAUCUGGUAACUGAAAUCAAACAAGGAUAUUCAAAACAAAACAAAAAAUUGACAACUUCUUGUGAGAUUGGUAAGUAAACAAGGUAACCAACCAAGCACAAGCCAAUAUUUGACAUUUGCCAAAUGUUAACAUAUGCCAAUUUUUACCAGUCAUGCUCUCUGUUCCUGGUUCAUCUGGUAACUGAAAUCAAACAAGGAUAUUCAAAACAAAAAAACAUGGUAGUGCUAACUAGAACGGAGGUCUGGUCCUGAACAAAAUUUCUAAUUAAUUGGCAUGUGCGUUCGAUAGAAGAAAAGAACAUCCUAGGUUCAGCGUCUAUGCAUACUACACGUCAUUUAUUAUGUGAGAGUAGGGCCCCUGUUUAGGCUAAAAUAUUUCGUUCUGCAAUGUGAAACAGCUGGGACCUGAUGACCGGAUUAAAGUAUUUCCUAUCUGUGCAGAUGUCAUGGUGAUACACAAGUUUCAGUGGAACUCGGCUUGAGUGGCUACUCGAAAGCUUUCUGAGAAUUGCUAAUCAGCCUAGAGAUAUGCAAAAAUCAUUCAUCUAACAUAGCUCAACAGCGGCAAAAACGCUCAAAAUCAUUUGCGCACACUUAUCAGCCAAAGGAAUCUACAUAAACAUGGAAAUAAGUUGCACAGCAAUGGUAAACAAGCGUAAGGCAUACUAGAAAAUACUACCUCUGUACCGAAAUACUUGUAGCGGGGGGAAACUAGUACAAGUUCCCCCAACUGCAAGUAUUUUGGUGCCGAGGGAGUAAAACAGUGCCGAUUGACAGUUAAUACACACUUAGGCCCUGCUUGGAUCAGCGUUUCAGCUCGUUUUUGGCCGGUUUAGGAUACGGACCUCUUUCCGUCGUUUUAAUUUCAGGCUGGAAUCAAGUGGCGACCAGUAAUUUACACCUGUAAGAUAAAUACAGGUGUAAAAACUUACACCCAUUCCAAGCAGGGCCUUACAUGAAAACAGUUAAAAAUUUACAGAUGGUGUUUCAUGUAACUUUGAUUCAAAGCAUUACACACAGUGGUUCAUGCAGCACAAACUAAAACGCAAAGCAGGUGUUGCCGCACAUCAGCAGCAUUCAGAGUCGCCUCCAUACACAGGCGGAUACCACAGUGACCAUCCACACAUAAUACCACUGUCCACCACAAGCCAAACAAGACACUACAACGAGAUACUAACUCCUAAGGUAACAUAACUUCGGAGACCCCACACCAGGUCAACUACAUAGAAUAUUAGGUUUGUUGGCACCAUAUUUUAAACACAGUUCCUUGCAGUCAUUGUUUCCAUUAUUGAAACCAAGCUGCCAACAUGGCCAGGUUAAAGUCUCUAAGAUUUGGGACACCCAUGCCACCGAAUUCUUUCCUCGUAGAAAUGAGCUCCCAUUUAGCAAGGUGGUACUUAUGUUCACUCCUCAAACUACCACAAAAGAAAUGGGGCAUCUGAUAAGUGAUAGCAUCAAUAGCCCAUUUAGGAAAUUUCAUCAUGGACAUUAAGUACAUAGAAAUGUUAACAAUGCAAGUAGUAAGAAGAAUUAGUUUGCCCCUACAUGACAAAUAUUCCCCAAGCCAAACAGAAAGAUUCUUGAUGAUUCUGUCUAUGAUGGGAUAGACCUCAAAACCAACACUAGGAUGGCCCAUAAUAUUGCCCAAGUGUACGUGUGGCGCAGGGCGGGCUCGUGGCUGGUUUUUCCUUGCCAAUUUCAGCCAGUCUUUUUAUUUAGGCCUAAUUUUGUAUUUGUUUCUUCUUCCCUUUUUGAAGUAAAGAAGUUAACGAACUUAACAAAAAAUCUUCAAGAAUUUUCUAAAAAAUCAUAAUUUUAAUAAUAAUAAUAUUUAUUUAUUUAAAAUAAUUGUAUAUUUGCAAAAAUAUUCACGAAAUUAAUAGAUCAUUCGCCAUUUUAAAGAUGUUUUGAUUUUUUUAAAUGUUCACAAAUUUAUGAGAAGAAAAUGAAAAAAAUAAAAUAAAAAUAAAAAAUAACCGCUGAUAAUUGAGGAACAAACCAAACAAAUAAAAACCAGAAGAAAAUGAAAAAUAACGAGGCGGUGAGGCAGAGAGAACGCGUACGCGUAAAGAAAUAAAGAGAUAAUGGACCCAGCGUCCCAGCCCUUACUGUUCACUGGCUGUGAUUCAUUUCUAGCUAGUCGAUACAUUGGCACGCGGCCCAUAUACACACCUGCGGUGUGCUGGUAGCCCGCAAAGAACAGCUCUGUGCUCAAGGGUUUCGCCGCGAGUGGCGGCGGCCACGAGAGCAGGCGACGAGGAGCGGCGGGGAGGAGGAGGCGGGCACGCGGCGUACGGCGGAGGUUCCGGCGCGGGUCGCGGGAGUUCCAAGGAGCGGCCGGCAGCGCCGCAGCACCGAUCGCCACCACCAGCAGGCCAAUCGCUGCCAUCUCCGACAGCAAGCUAGCCAGUGAGUGUCCUCUUGUGCUCUUCUUCGGUUCAUUCAGCUGAAGGAUUCACUAGCUUGUACAGUACUACUCUGCAUUGUCAAUUUUGUGGUGCUUUCUCUUUGCUUGCUCAAUUUUGUGGAUUCACUAGCUUGUACCUUGCGUUCACUUAAAUUUUGUUCAGUGAACAGACCCGUGGAGAACACCAUUGUGGGCUCUUGUGUCUUCCAAUUCAAAGUCGACUACGAGCUAGUCAAGCACCUUCCCACCGGUAUGGCCUUCUACUCCGAUGCCGUCUCCGCCGGGGGACACCUGUGGGGGAUUAAGUUCUUCCCGAGUGGGGAGUACGAGGCCGACGAGGAGUAUGUUUCUAUCUUCCUGGAGCACAUGAGCAAAUCUAGAAGUGUCGGGGUCAUCUUUGAGGUGUUUAUGAUGGGUAGGGACAGCAAGCCAUCCAUGUCAUUGUCACACAUACGAAGGUUAUGUCAAACCUUUGAAAUCAUGGAAGAUAAAGACAGCAGCGACUGCUGGGGAUGGGGCAAGUUCCUCGAACGAACUACUUUGGAGAAAGAUUACUUAACAGGGAGACACGUCACAUUUGCUUGUGCCAUCAUGAUCAUCGAUGACAGUUGUGUUCCUGUCCCUCCUUCAGACAUUGGGACCCAUCUUGGUCGCCUGCUAGAUCACGCUGAUGGGACAGAUGUGUCAUUCAUCGUUGACAAUGAGACAUUCCAUGCUCAUCGAGCAGUGCUUGCUGCCCGCUCACCGGUCUUCCGAGCAGAGCUCUUCGGCCCCAUGUCCGAGGCUACAAUGCCAUCCAUCACGCUGCACGACAUCACACCUGCAACAUUCAAAGUUAUGCUCCGGUUCAUAUACACAGAUGAAUUGCCCCUAGAAGACGAGCUUGAGGACUCUUCCACCGAGAUGUUCCAGAACCUGCUUGCUGCGGCCGAUCGGUAUGCACUGGACAGACUGAAGAUUGUUUGCGCCCAGAAGUUGUGGGAUAAAGUGUCGGUAGAUACAGUUGCAACUAUCUUAGCUUGGGCUGAAACCUACAACUGCCAGGAGUUGAAGAACAGGUGCAUUGACUUCUUUGUGGUGGAGGAAAAUUUCAAGAAGGCCAUCUUCACCGAUGGUUAUGCGUUGCUGGUUCUGAAAUUCCCAGAGAUCAUUGCUGAGAUGAAAAAGAGGGUUUAGGAGAUGACACAAUGAGAUAUAUCUCCAUGUAUAUAGUUCAGGUGUUCAAGCGAUAGUACUAGAUGUGUUUUGGAACGUGGUGAGUGGUAUGCGGCAUCUUAUCAAGCGUACUGGGGCGUACUAAAUGUGUUUCAUGAGCUGGGAGCCUGAUAUUACUGGAUCUUCUUGUUAGCAGUAUUGGCCAUAGUUGCUACUGAGUACUAAUGGCGGAGUGGUGGAUGUUUAUCAGGUAUCAGAUACUUGUGCUGAAUGAGCAGCUUGUUUUCCGUUUGUGUUUGUUCUUUUGGCCAUGUCGUGUCCUGAAGCUUUUAAAAUGUUUACUUCUGCUAAUCUAAUGCAUAACUAUCUAUAGCUCCGGUAAUCUAAAUACUUCCUUUGUCAUGGCAAAAAAAUUCUAGAGUAUAGCCUUUGCAUAGCUCAGUGUGAAAUUUUGUUCCUGGUUCAUCACUGAAAUCAAACAAGGGAUAUUCAAAACCUGAAAACGUGGUUGUGGCCCUUGUGGGAGUACUGAACAAAUUUUCUAAUUAAUUGGCCCGUGUGUUCUAGGGAAGAAAAGGACGCCCAACGGACGGUCCAGUAUCUUUGCAUACAACACAUCAUUUUCAUUAGAGAAAGGCUAUAAAUGAGCAGCUUGUUUUCCGUUUGCGUUUGUUCUUUUGGCCAUGUCGUGUCCUGAAGCUUUUAAAAAUAUUCACUUAAACUAAUAUAAUGCAUAACUAUCUAGAGCUCCGGGAAUCUCUUUGUCAUGGCCAAAGAAUCUGGAUUAUAGCGUUUGCAUAGCAAAGCGUGAAAUUCUGUUCCUGGUUCAUCUGGUAACUGAAAACAAACAAGGGAUAUUCAAAGCCAAAAAUCCUGUACUAACCAUUCUGAACAAAUUUUCUAAUUAAUUGGCAUGUGCGUUUGAGAGAAGAAAAGAACAUCCUACGUUCAGCGUCUUUGCAUACAACUGGGACCUGAUGACCGGAUCGAAACGAAAUUGCCAUCCUAUCUGCAGAUGUCAUGGUGAUACACAAGUUCCAGUGGAACUCGGCCUAAGUGGCUACUCGCAAGCUUUCUGAGAUUGCUUACCAGUCCAUCUAACAUAGCUCAACAGCUGCAAAAACGCUCAAAAUCAUUUGCCCACACUUAAUCAGCCAAAGGAAUCUACAUUAACAUGCAAAUAACUUGAACAGCAGUGGUAAACAAUGCAUACUGCUCGAGUAAUAGCAAAUAAAACAAUGCCAAUUGACAGUCAAAUACACACUCAUAUAAAAAGAGUUAUGAAUUUACAGAUGGUGUUUCAUGUAACUUUGAUUCAAAGCAUUACACACAGUGGUUCAUGCAGCACAAACUAAAACGCAAAGCAGGUGUUGCCGCACAGCAGCAGCAUUCUCGCCUCCAUACACAGGCGGAUACCACAGUGACCAUCCACACAUAAUACCACUGUCCACCACAAGCCAAACAAGACACUACAACGAGAUACUGACUCCUACAGCUAUUAGGUAAUAAUAGAACUCCGGGUAGCUCUUAUUGUUACUGCGUCGGGAUGGGCUGCAUCUCAGGAGCU